rnacentral:rRNA from 1 species
CGUAUGGUGCAAGCGUUAUCCGGAUUACUGGGUGUAAAGGGAGCGCAGGCGGUGCGGCAAGUCUGAUGUGAAAGCCCGGGGCUCAACCCCGGUACUGCAUUGGAAACUGUCGUACUAGAGUGUCGGAGGGGUAAGUGGAAUUCCUAGUGUAGCGGUGAAAUGCGUAGAUAUUAGGAGGAACACCAGUGGCGAAGGCGGCUUACUGGACGAUAACUGACGCUGAGGCUCGAAAGCGUGGGGAGCAA